GGAAUUGACGGGGGCCCGCACAAGCGGUGGAGCAUGUGGUUUAAUUCGAUGAUACGCGAGGAACCUUACCUGGGCUCAAAUGUAUGUUGACGUAUUCUGAAAGGGAUACUUCUUCGGACAAUAUACAAGGUGCUGCAUGGUUGUCGUCAGCUCGUGCCGUGAGGUGUCGGGUUAAGUCCCAUAACGAGCGCAACCCCUAUCAUUAGUUGCCAUCAGGUCAAGCUGGGGACUCUAAUGAAACUGCCUACGCAAGUAGUGAGGAAGGUGGGGAUGACGUCAAAUCAUCAUGCCCCUUAUGACCUGGGCUACAAACGUGAUACAAUGGCUGGAACAAAGGGAUGCGAAGCAGUGAUGUGGAGCGAAACCCAUAAAAACAGUCUCAGUUCGGAUUGAAGUCUGCAACUCGACUUCAUGAAGUCGGAAUCGCUAGUAAUCGCGGAUCAGAACGCCGCGGUGAAUACGUUCCCGGGCCUU
rnacentral:rRNA from 1 species